UGCAGCCAGAGGCUAAAGCCUGUUGAUCCAGAGUGAGAAACGCUUCCUGCCUCUCCCUCUCAGAAAUGAAAUGCCCUCAAAGAUCCUGAUUACACGCCUCAUCCAGAAACUCCUGGCCUGAAGUUCCAACACCCCCUGAUGGGCACUGGGUCCUCCUGCAAUUUCUCCACUGCUGCCCACCUGUGCAAUCAGGGCAGCGUGCAGACUGUGGUGAUCAUCAUCCCAGCCCUGAACUCCCUGUCCACGCUGCUGAUCGUCAGCUGCAUCUUAUGGAAGACAUGCCGACAGCGGGCCCGCCUCACCUAUCCCAGCCCUCCAUCUCCAUGAAAGGACCCAGGGAAACCUCUCCAGGACCCUGACGGGCAUGGCAAUUUGUACAGCACCAUAUGUACCCAAUGGUGAAGCCCUGGCACGUCUGCACACCCGUGACACUUCAGUGUGAGACGAAGAGGAGAAAUCUUCUUUGCUCUCUCAAGGCAACAAGUCAUGAAGUGCUCCACUGCCUUGAGCCUUAGCCACAACUAGGGUAGUGCCUCUUAGAGUCCCCUGCCCUGCCCUGGUUCUACCGUACCUUCCUCCACAAACCCUGAGAUCUAGAGGGGCUCAUUCAGUCACUGUUGUUAUCAUGGCUCUGAUGAUGGUGAGCCAUAUGUCCCCUCCCUGUAGCCUCUUGAUGUGUGUGUGUGUGUGUGUGUGUGUGUGUGUGUGUGUGUGUGUGUGACAGAGGGGAUGGAGAGCAAGGUGUGAGUGUGAACCCACAUUCCUUUGCACAUGCAUGGAGGACAACUUUGUGAAGUUGGCUCUCUGACCUGGACCAGCAGGUUGGUCUUCAGUGUCAGGUCCCAAAGAGAAAGAAAGGAUCAUGGGGUCAAAAAAAUACAGAAGAUAAGGAAGUUGGGGUCAGGGGGUCUUAUGCAAGCUAUGCCUUAUGCCAAGCAAGUUUAUUAAGAAGUCUAACAUCUUAUAUACAGUUUUCAGGGGUAGGAGUGGGACAGAGUCAGUGGGAAGCUAACAAAGCAAUGAACACGGAGGAAACACAGGAGGUCUCACGUGUGUCACAGGCAAGCACAUGGAGGAAACACAGGAGAUCUCACAUGUGUCACAGGCAAACACACGGAGGACACACAGGAGAUCUCACUUGUGUCACAGGCAAACACAUGGAAGAAACAGAGAUCUCACGUGUGUCACAGGCACAUGCUCUGCUGUCUUGGAACUGACAACCCUAGCUUAGGAUGGGAAGAUGGAGUUCUUAGGAUGAAGUCACAGCUCCCGCUAGGCCCUGGACCCAGGCUGCCACUGGCUUUGCCAAGCAUAUUCCUGGCUUUAGACAGGGAGCUGUGGUCCUUCUCCAUACAUCAGAGCCUCAGGAAAAAGUUCCCCUAAGGCCCUGGACCCCAGGCUGCUACUGGCUCUGCCAAGCAUGUUCCUGGCUUUAGACAAGGAUCUAUGUUCUUUCUCCAAACAACAGGGCCCCAGGAAAAGCCUUGGGUUAGCAUGGCUCCUAACAGUUCUCUCUUACCACCACUAUCCCCUGAAUUCCGUGGAUUAAGCAACCAAGCCACCUCAUUGUAGCUAGUGCUUGCAAUUUUUUAAGGCAAGAUUUUUUUCUGUGUAGCCAAAACUGUUCCAGAACCCACUUUGUAGACAAGGCUGGCCUCGAACUCAUAGAGAUCCGAUUGCUUCUACCUCCAGAGUACUAGGAUUAAAGUCACAUGCUACCAUGCUUGGAUACUUUUUGUACUCUUAAUGAAAAACAAACGUACAGACACAGACAGACAAUCCUUUAAUUUUUUAAAAAAGAUUUAUUUUUUUUUUAUGUGAGUACACUAUAGCUGUCUUCAGACACACCAGAAGAGGGCAUCAGAUCCCAUUACAGAUGGUUCUGAGCCACCAUGUGGUUGCUGGGAAUUGAACUCAAGACCCAGUUGUCUGGAUGUGGGCAGGGUUGUAUUUUGCUAGGUUAUGGCUCACCUAAGACAGUUCAACAAAUGAAAGAGAGGCGAGGGAGUUGAAGAUUAAUGCGAGAGAAUAAGUAUAAAGACUACUCGUGGUGAUGAGGCUGGCAGAAGACCCUUUCCAUGCUGUUCAUCGCUAUUCCAGCUUUCCUGCCUCACCAAACACUGAAUAGGAAAGUACCCUCUGCCCACUUAUGGUUAGAUGUGGCCAUGUGCCUGACUUGGGCCAAUUUGAUGGUGCUAAGACCUAGAUGGAACAAUUUUGCCAACAAGGCACCCCCAAGUAAGUUCUCUUUUUAUUCUAACAGAUGGCCAGCAUGAUUUGAAAUGCUGGCUUCUUCCAUCACCUUCGUGACUCGAAGAUUAUAUCAGUGGUGCCCGCAGAAGGCCCGUAGUGUUUAAGUAGUAUAAACAAGAAAUGAAUGUCCUUUUAAAUCUUACAGUCUAAACCACUGGAAGGUGGGGACUGGUUGUUACUGCAGCACAGCUCUGCCUACCUGACUUAUAGAACCGGAAGAAAGGAUAUUAACGUGGGAGAGUUAACACAAAAUGUAGACUUCCUGGCAGUGCCUGGUGUUGAUGGAGUCAGGUUACAAGAGCAAGAGAAGGGCUGGAAAUGCAGCAAGUACCUCAUGGAGAAUCAGAUUCAUGGUGCAUGGCCACUGUAGAGAGUGGCAGAGGUGGAGAGAAGGCAAAGUCUCCGAAAGAGGUCUAGGAAUGGGGAUGACAGCAUUGAAAGGCUCAUCUUCGUGCAUACGGAAAUCCUUGAAGAUGGAAACUGCUACACAGCAUGGGAAAGGUACCCACAAACCAAAGUCUUAUUGUUUCUACCUGAGACCGAGUGAUGAAUGCAAUGAGGGCAAGGGGUUUUGUGUCCACUUUCAUGUCCCCAGUGCCAAAUCUCAGUCUUGAUGCCAUUGCUCCUAACAUACUUUGUUUAUCGGAAUGGGAUCAUUGAGCCCCGCCCCUACUCCAGGAGAGAGGAUUGAAGCAGGAUGUGGAUUCAGGGAUGCAGGAUCGUUGAGGACAAUCUUAGAAACUGCCUGACAGCUUCUCUUCAGGCCUCCUAGCUCACCAUCUAAAGUGUAUAGCUGACAUCUUCUCUCCCCUCUGAGAAAUUCUGAUGGCUCACUGGUACGGCCAGAACACGCUCUUUCCUAAUAUGCCCCAAGCCUCCAGCCCAUUCUUGCCUUCUGUUCUGCCCCUGAACUCCCAAGGACUUUGAAUUAUCAUGCCACUAUUCCUGUCACAUGCCAUUCCCAUGAAAUGCCACUGCUUCUUAGCAAGUCUGUUCUGGGCUGCACAGGCGGUUAUAUUUAUCUCUAGUUAGACAUCCUUUGGAGAUCUUGCUUUUCUCUAAAACAAACCUCAGCACACCAAAUUACCACUCUCUCUGCUUGAAUAUGUCAUAGGAUUGCAAAUUUAACAUGUUCAGGAAUCUGUUUCUUCCCUGGGAUUUAGCCAGAGUUGCAUUUUGGACGCACUCAUCCCCAUUUCUUACAAAACCUGGCCCCUGGUCUGGUGUAUACAAGACCCUCGCUAACUCCAUUAGUGUCAUUAAAAUAUCCGAAGAACAGCCAUUUGUGACAGGGUGAUACUAAGUCAAUACACACACUACUAAUAAAAGCGUCUAUGCGCAUCACCAGCUGCCUACACAUGGGGGGAAAAAGCUGGGAGAAGGAAGGAGAGGUGCCCUAACCUGCUCCUCUAGUUACUGUCUGUUCUUAGACAUGUUCCCUCGUA